AAAAAACACAUUUCUGGAUGGUUUGUCCUCGGGGUUUCGCCUGCCAAAUACGUUCUCACAGACAUAAUUGUAACAGUUUUAGAAACUUUACAGUGUUUUCUAUCCAUAUCUAACAAUUAUAUGCAUAUCCUAGCUUCUGGGCCUGAGUAGCAGGCAGUUUACUUUGGGCACGUUUUUCAUCCGGACGUCAAAAUACUGCCCCCUAGCCCAAAGAAGUUAUCUAAGGCCAAUGACUGUUUGCAUUGGUCCACAGCCUACGCCAAGUCAGAACAUUGGUUAAUGUAUUACAGUCCAGAUUACAGUACCAAUGUUUUUUAGUGGCUGACUCCACUGUUUUCUCCCUCGUCCUCUAGGUGACGUCCCAGACGAUGAGUGGAAUCUGCUGUAUGUGGCAGUAACUCGGGCCAAGAGCUCUCUGGUCAUCACCAAGAACAUCACCAACAUCCUCACACUAGCUGGGGAGUACUUCCUGAGGACAGAGCUGAACGAGGGCCAGCCCCCCUGCUGCUCCGUGCGGGAGUGUCAUAACCACAUCAUGCCCGACUGGCCCCUCGCCAUGUGCAAACUGCCACUCCAAUAUGUAAGGCCCCGCUUCCUCCUCCCUACCACCAUACCACAUUUUGAUUUGCAAUGUCUCUCAACCAGACCUGAUCAUUUCAGACAGGUGUGGGUGCAGGAGGUCUAAAAGAAUGGCCCACAUUCCGCUAAUGGCUAACCAGUCAGACCUGUUAGCCAACUGUAAUAGCUAGUUAGUCAGUCAGAGGGCACAAAAGAAACAGAUGUGUCUUCAGUUUGAAUACUUUGAGGUUAACAACAUAAGCAUCAUCAUAAGUCACGUCCAUUGUUUCCAUAAAGACACAGUUGCCAAUACUCUAAUGGAAAAGCAUCAUGUAAAGUGUUGGUCCCAUAUUUCAUGAGCUGAAAUAAAACAUCCCAGAAAAUCUCAA